rnacentral:rRNA from 1 species
GACGAACCGUGCGAACGUUGUUCGGAAUUACUGGGCGUAAAGGGCGCGUAGGCGGCCUUCUAAGUCAGACGUGAAAUCCCCAGGCUUAACUUGGGAACUGCGUCUGAUACUGGGAGGCUUGAGUGCGGGAGAGGGAUGUGGAAUUCCAGGUGUAGCGGUGAAAUGCGUAGAUAUCUGGAGGAACACCGGUGGCGAAGGCGGCAUCCUGGACCGACACUGACGCUGAGGCGCGAAAGCUAGGGGAGCAAACAGG